GGAAGGAUCAUUACCGAGUUAGGGUGUCUGUUCGCAGCGCCCGACCUCCCAACCCUUUGUCUAUGAUACCUAAACAGUUGCUUCGGCGUGCCGAGGGGUCGUACCCUCGCCGGGCCUCACGGCCGGGAGCGCGCACGUCGACGGCCUUUAUCUAACACUUGAACCCAAAACCUGUCGUCUGAAAACUUGUGAUUAACCAAUAAUCAAAAACAAAACUUUCAACAACGGAUCUCUUGGUUCUGGCAUCGAUGAAGAACGCAGCGAAAUGCGAUAAGUAAUGCGAAUUGCAGAAUUUCCGUGAGUCAUCGAAUCUUUGAACGCACAUUGCGCCCAUUGGUAUUCCGAUGGGCAUGCCUGUUCGAGCGUCAUUAUCCUCUCUCCAACCUUUGGGUUGGGUGUUGGACCGAGUUGCGGGACCUCCGCAACUGGUCUCAAAGACAAUGACGGCGUCCGUGGGGACCCUCUUCGCAACGAGUCUUUCGAGGCACGCGGGGAGUCGCAAGGUCACUGCGGGCCGGUCUUACCUCUAUUUUUCUCAGGUUGACCUCGGAUCAGGUAGGAAUACCCGCUGAACUUAAGCAUAUCAAUAAGCGGAGGAAAAGAAACCAACAGGGAUUGCCUCAGUAACGGCGAGUGAAGCGGCAACAGCUCAAAUUUGAAAUCUGGCCCUCGGGUCCGAGUUGUAAUUUGUAGAGGAUGUUUCGGGCACCGUCGCGGUGUAAAUUUCUUGGAACAGAAUGUCAUAGAGGGUGAGAAUCCCGUCUGAAACCGCGAUAGGACCUAUGUGAAACUCCUUCGACGAGUCGAGUUGUUUGGGAAUGCAGCUCAAAAUGGGUGGUAAAUUUCAUCUAAAGCUAAAUAUUGGCCAGAGACCGAUAGCGCACAAGUAGAGUGAUCGAAAGAUGAAAAGCACUUUGAAAAGAGAGUUAAACAGUAUGUGAAAUUGUUGAAAGGGAAGCGCAGGCAAUCAGACUCGAGCGCGGGGUUCCCCCUGGCUUCUGCCAGGGUUACUUCCCCGUGACCGGGCCAACAUCAGUUCGAGGGACCGGUUAAAGGUCUCGGGAAUGUAUUCACUCCUUCGGGGGUGAACUUAUAGCCCGGGACGUCAUGCGGCCUCCCCGGACUGAGGAACGCGCUUCGGCGAGGAUGUUGGCGUAAUGGUUGUCUGCGACCCGUCUUGAAACACGGACCAAGGAGUCUAACAUCUAUGCGAGUGUUCGGGUGUCAAACCCUUGCGCGGAAUGAAAGUGAACGGAGGUAGGAAGGCCUGAGCCUGCACUAUCGACCGAUCCUGAUGUCUUCGGAUGGAUUUGAGUAAGAGCAUAGCUGUUGGGACCCGAAAGAUGGUGAACUAUGCGUGAAUAGGGUGAAGCCAGAGGAAACUCUGGUGGAGGCUCGCAGCGGUUCUGACGUGCAAAUCGAUCGUCAAAUUUGCGUAUAGGGGCGAAAGACUAAUCGAACCAUCUGGUAGCUGGUUCCUGC
rnacentral:misc_RNA from 1 species